UGGGGAGCAAACAGGAUUAGAUACCCUGGUAGUCCACGCCGUAAACGAUGAGUGCUAAGUGUUAGAGGGUUUCCGCCCUUUAGUGCUGAAGUUAACGCAUUAAGCACUCCGCCUGGGGAGUACGGCCGCAAGGCUGAAACUCAAAGGAAUUGACGGGGGCCCGCACAAGCGGUGGGGCAUGUGGUUUAAUUCGAAGCAACGCGAAGAACCUUACCAGGUCUUGACAUCCUCUGAAAACCCUAGAGAUAGGGCUUCUCCUUCGGGAGCAGAGUGACAGGUGGUGCAUGGUUGUCGUCAGCUCGUGUCGUGAGAUGUUGGGUUAAGUCCCGCAACGAGCGCAACCCUUGAUCUUAGUUGCCAUCAUUAAGUUGGGCACUCUAAGGUGACUGCCGGUGACAAACCGGAGGAAGGUGGGGAUGACGUCAAAUCAUCAUGCCCCUUAUGACCUGGGCUACACACGUGCUACAAUGGACGGUACAAAGAGCUGCAAGACCGCGAGGUGGAGCUAAUCUCAUAAAACCGUUCUCAGUUCGGAUUGUAGGCUGCAACUCGCCUACAUGAAGCUGGAAUCGCUAGUAAUCGCGGAUCAGCAUGCCGCGGUGAAUACGUUCCCGGGCCUUGUACACACCGCCCGUCACACCAUGGGAGUGGGUUGCAAAAGAAGUAGGUAGCUUAACCUUCGGGAGGGCGCUUACCACUUUGUGAUUCAUGACUGGGGUGAAGUCGUAACAAGGUAA
rnacentral:rRNA from 1 species